rnacentral:misc_RNA from 1 species
AAGUCGUAACAAGGUUUCCGUAGGUGAACCUGCGGAAGGAUCAUUAUCCUAUAGCGUAGAGCUCUUCUUGAGCACUACAUGCGUUACACACUCAUGUGUUGCGUUACAAUGCAUAGUGAGCGGGCCUCGUCCCGCUCGCUUCAAAUCCGUGCUCGCUUGAGUCCGGUCGGGUACCUAUGUGUGCGCAUCUCGCGCAUACACAAGCGGCAGAUGCUCGUCUGCCGUGUGGUGUAAAGAUUAUAACUCGCUCGAGUAAUAACGCCCGCUCAGCACAAUAUAUUUCUACGACAAAUUUAUAUCGCAUUUAACUAUGUUGUAUGUGUAAGCACUGUCUCACUUACUUCGAGCGAGAUAUUAACACAAAUACAACCCUAUGCGGUGGAUCAUUUGGCUC